CGCACAUUCCUUAGCACGAACUCAGAGGGUCAAGGGCCGGUCAAUGUGCACAUGCAUGUUCGUUCUCCUCUGGCAGCUGUGUUAAGGCCUCAAUCCGGAUAAAACAAAAGCAAUAAUGUAUGUAGGUCUUCCCGAAGCAGCGGUUCAGAAUGAUCCCACACUGUGAGCAAUUCUGCCAAGAAACAGAGAGCUUUUUUGGCCAAUGGCCAGGAAGACCUGCAAGAUGCCUGAAGUAGGACCAGAAAAGCCCUGUACAUGGCCUCUUCAGUAGAGGGAAAAGCUGGGAGUUUGGCAUCCUCAACAACUCCCAUAUGACCACAUGGCAAGACAACUACUUCAGAGAAAUCUGGAGAGGAGAGAGAUGGUGACACAAAAUGAGGCCCAAAUAAAGCAGAUGGGAAGGCUCUACUAAAUGGUUACCCUCAUUUCAUUCAGGUAGGAUUGAGACUGAGGCUCCCCAAACAAAAUCUUAAUGAACAGGAGAGGUCUUGAAAAAUGCCUAUUGAGACUCGGGAAUGUAGAGAGAAAACUUACCAAGCUUACCAGUAUCACACAGUUGUAGAGUCAGGAAGACUAGAUGAUUGAAAUGUGAUAAAGAUGACUGUGAAGGAGAAGUACCCCAGAUAAAUGGAAGAGAUGAUGAGGAACUGAUGAAUGAACUUCUUUUAACUAAGAGUUGCCACACAUAAGGUUUUUCACAACAAAGAGCAAUGCUUAAAGCCAGAAUUCAAGUGCUGCUGGCUUCCUUUGUCCUGGCAUCUGGAAGGAAAGGAAGAAGGCCCAGGCAAAAGAGUAAGGAGAGACAUUCAGAAGACUCAGAAGCCAACACAACAAGGUUCAGGAAACUGAAUGCUUAGAGACUAGAGAGGCCUGUGUCUGUUCCUGAGUGGUGCUGAUGGAAAACGAUGAAGAUCCUGUUGAAGUCCUCAAUCCUGUGUACCUAUGUGAAGGAGAUAAGAUAAUAACCCUUCAAAAUAAUCCUGUUUGAAACAGAAACAUGGAGGCCUCCGUCUUGAACCUAUGUAUCUUCCUCUGAGAAAUCAUGCAAAAGAUUUUCCCCUGGGACAAGAGGGAAAUGGUCUGUGAAAGAAAGAACCUUCUACCUUCCAAGAUGCUGGCUUGUCAAUAGUUUUCAUGACCCACCCUCUCUCCCUAACUUCUUCCACCACUGUUAUUCAUCACUUCAUUCAUAGACUGAGUAGUCAACAGUGACGUGAAUCUUCUGGGAAUACACUGGUUUUUCCCCACGCUUGUAUUUAAUAAACAUGCCCGUGGCUUAGCAUGGGUAAAUCUGAACAGCAUCAGUUGUGUGUUUCUUGGGUGUUGUGUGAAUGACCCAGGCUAUCCCUAACAUUAGAAUCCAGAACUCAUAAAUGCUAAUCCUUAGGGAUAAUGGUAACAUCAUCCUUGCAAUCCAU
rnacentral:lncRNA from 1 species